GUGAAGGAAGAAGUAUCUCGGUAUGUAAACUUCUAUCAGCAGGGAAGAUAGUGACGGUACCUGACUAAGAAGCCCCGGCUAACUACGUGCCAGCAGCCGCGGUAAUACGUAGGGGGCAAGCGUUAAUCGGAAUUACUGGGCGUAAAGCGUGCGCAGGCGGUUUUGUAAGACAGAUGUGAAAUCCCCGGGCUUAACCUGGGAACUGCGUUUGUGACUGCAAGGCUAGAGUACGGCAGAGGGGGGUGGAAUUCCUGGUGUAGCAGUGAAAUGCGUAGAGAUCAGGAGGAACACCGAUGGCGAAGGCAGCCCCUGGGCCUGUACUGACGCUCAUGCACGAAAGCGUGGGGAGCAAAACAGGAUUAGAUACCCUGGUAGUCCACGCCCUAAACGAUGUCGACUAGUCGUUCGGAGCAGCAAUGCACUGAGUGACGCAGCUAACGCGUGAAGUCGACCGCCUGGGGAGUACGGCCGCAAGGUUAAAACUCAAAAGGAAUUAGACGGGGACCCGCACAAGCGGUGGAUGAUGUGG
rnacentral:rRNA from 1 species